rnacentral:rRNA from 1 species
UCAUUUUGUUUCUGACCUAUCAGCUUUCGACGGUAGGGUAUUGGCCUACCGUGGCAGUGACGGGUAACGGGGAAUUAGGGUUCGAUUCCGGAGAGGGAGCCUGAGAAACGGCUACCACAUCUAAGGAAGGCAGCAGGCGCGCAAAUUACCCAAUGAAAACAGUUUCGAGGUAGUGACGAGAAAUAACAAUACAGGGCAUCUAAUGCUUUGUAAUUGGAAUGAUGGGAAUCCAAACCCCUUUCAGAGUAACAAUUGGAGGGCAAGUCUGGUGCCAGCAGCCGCGGUAAUUCCAGCUCCAAUAGCGUAUAUUAGAGUUGUUGCAGUUAAAAAGCUCGUAGUUGGAUUUCUGUCGGGAAGUGCCGGCCCGCCGUUCUGCGGUGUGCGCCUGGUAGGUCUCGGCAUUUUUCCGGUAGCGCAUCCGCACUUAAUUGGGUGGUUGCGCGUAUUGCCGGAACUUUUACUUUGAGAAAAAUAGAGUGUUUCAAGCAGGCUUGUCGCCCUGAAUACUGCAGCAUGGAAUAAUAAAAUAGGACUUUGGUUCUAUUUUGUUGGUUUCUAGGACUAAAGUAAUGAUUAAUAGGGACAGUUGGGGGCAUUCGUAUUUAACUGUCAGAGGUGAAAUUCUUAGAUUU